rnacentral:rRNA from 1 species
GAAUAUUGGACAAUGGGGGGAACCCUGAUCCAGCCAUGCCGCGUGUGUGAAGAAGGCCUUUUGGUUGUAAAGCACUUUAAGCGAGGAGGAGGCUACUCUAGUUAAUACCUAGAGAUAGUGGACGUUACCCGCAGAAAAAGACCCGGCUAACGCUGGUCAAGACGCCGCGGGAAGACAGAGGGUGCAAGCGUUAAUCGGAUUUACUGGGCGUAAAGCGCGCGUAGGUGGCCAAUUAAGUCAAAUGUGAAAUCCCCGAGCUUAACUUGGGAAUUGCAUUCGAUACUGGUUGGCUAGGGUAUGGGAGAGGAUGGUAGAAUUCCAGGUGUAGCGGUGAAAUGCGUAGAGAUCUGGAGGAAUACCGAUGGCGAAGGCAGCCAUCUGGCCUAAUACUGACACUGAGGUGCGAAAGCAUGGGGAGCAAACAG